AACCGAGCUAUCCUGUCAAAAUUGUCCUACUUGUCGCGAUUAAUCGGCUACCUACGCGGCAAGGACACCAUGAUAAAUACAAACUGCAUAUCCAUAGAACUUACGAUACGUAUGAAGAAGCAACUGCUGAACUGAUGCGAAAAGCAGUGAUCCAGCACAGGGAAGGAUUGAGAGAGAGACAGCUAUAUGAGUAGAAAAAUGAGAUCCUUCCUCCCCUUCGCCGCCGUGGUGCGAGCGCGUCAGCGAGGUGAUCCAGAAUCCAGACAUCCAGAUCGAACGUGCGAUUCGAGGAAGUCCAAGAAGAUCGAGCAGACCGAGCAGAGUUCCUCCGUGCCUUCGCUCAAUGUUAUCUAAUUUGAAAAGUGCAGUUGUGCAACUUGGAAUUAUCUUUUAUUAUGGAGCCUAGCAAUGCAAACUAGAAUUAAGCAUUGAACCUCGUCGCUUGCACGGAUCUAUUAUCUAGCAAACUCACGGCACCAGUAUCGUUCGGAUGACGCCACGGUUGUUUCGUAUGAAAAGUAUGAA